UACGUAGGUCCCGAGCGUUGUCCGGAUUUAUUGGGCGUAAAGCGAGCGCAGGUGGUUUAAUAAGUCUGGUGUAAAAGGCAGUGGCUCAACCAUUGUAUGCAUUGGAAACUGGUAGACUUGAGUGCAGUAGAGGAGAGUGGAAUUCCAUGUGUAGCGGUGAAAUGCGUAGAUAUAUGGAGGAACACCGGUGGCGAAAGCGGCUCUCUGGACUGUAACUGACACUGAGGCUCGAAAGCGUGGGGAGCAAACAGG
rnacentral:rRNA from 1 species